rnacentral:rRNA from 1 species
UACGAAGAGGGAUAGAGGUGUUCGGAUUUACUGGGCGUAAAGCGCGUGUAGGCGGGUCGUUAAGUUGGAGGUGAAAUCCCGAGGCUCAACCUCGGAACUGCCUUCAAAACUGGCGACCUGGACUCAAGUAGAGGCAAGUGGAAUUGUGAGUGUAGAGGUGAAAUUCGUAGAUAUUCGCAGGAACACCAGUGGCGAAGGCGACUUGCUGGACUUGUAGUGACGCUGAGACGCGAAAGCGUGGGGAGCAAACAGG